CACCAGGAGCUGAAUCCUCACUUCACACACUCCUAAUAUGGUCAGCCCUGCAGCCAGCAGCCUGGGAGCCAAAGCCUCCUCCUGCCUCCCAAGGUUAACCCUUUGGUGUAGGAAAGAGGGAAACCAGAAUGACGGCUGAUAGUUACAGAGCCUCUGAUUACAAAUAAAAACAAGUGAACCUGCCAUGAUGGAGAAACCAGGACGCAAUCCACUCUCCAAAUAGAAGUGUUUACAGCAUGUGAACGUGAGAUCAAGGAAGCUGGGCAAUGUGAACUGCCUGAACCCCACAGGUCACUGAACUGAAACAGGAAAUCAGAAGAAAGGCAAGGGAGAAAAAACAUUCUUGGGAGGGGGAAAAGACAGCAUAAACAAGAACAGGAAGGGGAAUGCAGGUAUGUGCUGGCCCCUCCCAACAGCCUGUAUGGCUGCUGUCUGCUGGCAACUUCUACCCUCAAUAAGGAAGAGAACAGGCCCAAGCAAAGGGCAGAGAAUGGUUUCAAGAUGCUUUCCUGCUUUUGGGAGACCACCAUCCCAAACUCUGGGACAUUUUGUGUUUCAGAGGAUCUAUCAAGGGGCAGAGCACUGUGGAUUUUGCUAUAAUAUUAAGGACAAGCCAGUCAGUAGUUAGACAGUGAAUGCACCUAAUAAUUCGGUACUGCGGGGACGAAAUACUCAAAGCUCUUCUUUCCUUUGGAGUAAAGAAAACCCCUGUGGCAGCUCUCCCAUAAGAGGCUCUCAAGAUGGGUUUUCUUCGUACAAAAAUAAGAAACAAAGGUUCCAGAUGGAGAGGCUCACAUUGUCGGCAGAUUUAGAAAAACUCCCCUGGAAUCUGUAUGGGUGAUGCAGUUUGGUGCAGACUGACAAAUGUCGGCACAAACCAUCAUCAGAAGGGUGCAAUUGGAGGAAUGAGCAGGAAUUCUCAGGGGCUUGAUUCAGAUCAAGUGUCACACAUAGCACAGACAGAGAAGGCACUGGACCUGUCCAAUCUGUGCUGCAGCUAAAGCUAAAUAACCAGGAAAUGUCAGAAGAGAAAUGUGUCAUCCCCAUUUCUAAUAUGGAUGGCGCAGGGAAGUACCUAUCUGGGGCUUGAAAGCCUGUUGUUCCACUGUCUCUCUUUCUACCACUGACACACUGAUAACUUCAGUACCUGGGAUUGAACUGAGGACCUUGUGCUUGCCAAGCAGGGGAAGAUCAACAGAGGCACUUACUCAGAAUGAAAGGUGGAAGUGGCCAUGGUGCCAGGACCUCCAAACCAUGGAGCUAUGACAAUUGCGAACUUGUGACGAGCAAGAGCCCAAAGGUAAAUCUGAACACUAUUAAAUGGUGUGCUGAGCACAUCCUGGGCAGGCGUUUGUGGGUCAAGCGCUCUAUACAGGGUUUUAAAAAUCACAUUUAAAGAUAGCAUCAUGCAUUAAAGAGAUAAAAAUGCAAUUUGAAAUUUGUUAUAGCAUAGAACAGACUAAUAUUGUGCACUAUUUCCUACUGAAGCCAG
rnacentral:lncRNA from 1 species